rnacentral:rRNA from 1 species
UGGGGGAUAUUGCACAAUGGGGGAAACCCUGAUGCAGCGACGCCGCGUGGAGGAAGAAGGUCUUCGGAUUGUAAACUCCUGUUGUUGAGGAAGAUAAUGACGGUACUCAACAAGGAAGUGACGGCUAACUACGUGCCAGCAGCCGCGGUAAAACGUAGGUCACAAGCGUUGUCCGGAAUUACUGGGUGUAAAGGGAGCGCAGGCGGGAAGACAAGUUGGAAGUGAAAUCCAUGGGCUCAACCCAUGAACUGCUUUCAAAACUGUUUUUCUUGAGUAGUGCAGAGGUAGGCGGAAUUCCCGGUGUAGCGGUGGAAUGCGUAGAUAUCGGGAGGAACACCAGUGGCGAAGGCGGCCUACUGGGCACCAACUGACGCUGAGGCUCGAAAGUGUGGGUAGCAAACAGGAUUAGAUACCCUGGUAGUCCACACUGUAAACGAUGAUUACUAGGUGUUGGAGGAUUGACCCCUUCAGUGCCGCAGUUAACACAAUAAGUAAUCCACCUGGGGAGUACGACCGCAAGGUUGAAACUCAAAGGAAUUGACGGGGGCCCGCACAAGCAGUGGAGUAUGUGGUUUAAUUCGACGCAACGCGAAGAACCUUACCAAGUCUUGACAUCCCUUGACGAUGCUGGAAACAGUAUUUCUCUUCGGAGCAAGGAGACAGGUGGUGCAUGGUUGUCGUCAGCUCGUGUCGUGAGAUGUUGGGUUAAGUCCCGCAACGAGCGCAACCCUUAUGGUCAGUUACUACGCAAGAGGACUCUGGCCAGACUGCCGUUGACAAAACGGAGGAAGGUGGGGAUGACGUCAAAUCAUCAUGCCCUUUAUGACUUGGGCUACACACGUACUACAAUGGCGUUAAACAAAGAGAAGCAAGACCGCGAGGUGGAGCAAAACUCAGAAACAACGUCCCAGUUCGGACUGCAGGCUGCAACUCGCCUGCACGAAGUCGGAAUUGCUAGUAAUCGCAGAUCAGCAUGCUGCGGUGAAUACGUUCCC